CCUUAGAGUUUGAUCCUGGCUCAGAACGAACGCUGGCGGCAGGCUUAACACAUGCAAGUCGAACGCCCCUUUCGGGGGGAGUGGCAGACGGGGGAGUAACACGUGGGAACGUACCUCUUUGUUCGGAAUAAACUCAAGGAAACAAGAGCUAAUCACGGAUACGCCCUUUUGGGGAAAAGAUUUAUCGCAGAGAGAUCGGCCCGCGUCAGAAUAGCUAAUUGGGAAGGUAAUGGCUCACCAAGGCGACGAUCAGUAGCUGGUCAGAGAGGAUGAUCAACCACACAGGGACUGAAGACACGGCCCAGACUCCUACGGGAGGCAGCAAUGGGGAAUAUUGGACAAUGGGGGCAACCGGGAUCCAGCCAUGCCGCGUGAGUGAUGAAGGCCUUAGGGUUGUAAAGCUCUUUUAUCCGGGAAGAUAAUGACUGUACCGGAAGAAUAAGCCCCGGCUAACUUCGUGCCAGCAGCCGCGGUAAUACGAAGGGGGCUAGCGUUGUUCGGAAUCACUGGGCGUAAAGGGCGCGUAGGCGGACGAUUAAGUCAGGGGUGAAAUCCCGGGGCUCAACCUCGGAAUUGCCCUUGAUACUGGUUGUCUUGAGAUUGGAAGAGGUAAGUGGAAUUGCGAGUGUAGAGGUGAAAUUCGUAGAUAUUCGCAAGAACACCGGUGGCGAAGGCGACUUACUGGUCCAUAUCUGACGCUGAGGCGCGAAAGCGUGGGGAGCAAACAGGAUUAGAUACCCUGGUAGUCCACGCCGUAAAC
rnacentral:rRNA from 1 species